rnacentral:rRNA from 1 species
GGUUAAGCGACUAAGCGUACACGGUGGAUGCCCUGGCAGUCAGAGGCGAUGAAGGACGUGCUAAUCUGCGAUAAGCGUCGGUAAGGUGAUAUGAACCGUUAUAACCGGCGAUUUCCGAAUGGGGAAACCCAGUGUGAUUCGUCACACUAUCAUUAACUGAAUCCAUAGGUUAAUGAGGCGAACCGGGGGAACUGAAACAUCUAAGUACCCCGAGGAAAAGAAAUCAACCGAGAUUCCCCCAGUAGCGGCGAGCGAACGGGGAGGAGCCCAGAGCCUGAAUCAGUGUGUGUGUUAGUGGAAGCGUCUGGAAAGGCGCGCGAUACAGGGUGACAGCCCCGUACACAAAAAUGCACAUGCUGUGAGCUCGAUGAGUAGGGCGGGACACGUGGUAUCCUGUCUGAAUAUGGGGGGACCAUCCUCCAAGGCUAAAUACUCCUGACUGACCGAUAGUGAACCAGUACCGUGAGGGAAAGGCGAAAAGAACCCCGGCGAGGGGAGUGAAAAAGAACCUGAAACCGUGUACGUACAAGCAGUGGGAGCACGCUUAGGCGUGUGACUGCGUACCUUUUGUAUAAUGGGUCAGCGACUUAUAUUCUGUAGCAAGGUUAACCGAAUAGGGGAGCCGAAGGGAAACCGAGUCUUAACUGGGCGUUAAGUUGCAGGGUAUAGACCCGAAACCCGGUGAUCUAGCCAUGGGCAGGUUGAAGGUUGGGUAACACUAACUGGAGGACCGAACCGACUAAUGUUGAAAAAUUAGCGGAUGACUUGUGGCUGGGGGUGAAAGGCCAAUCAAACCGGGAGAUAGCUGGUUCUCCCCGAAAGCUAUUUAGGUAGCGCCUCGUGAAUUCAUCUCCGGGGGUAGAGCACUGUUUCGGCAAGGGGGUCAUCCCGACUUACCAACCCGAUGCAAACUGCGAAUACCGGAGAAUGUUAUCACGGGAGACACACGGCGGGUGCUAACGUCCGUCGUGAAGAGGGAAACAACCCAGACCGCCAGCUAAGGUCCCAAAGUCAUGGUUAAGUGGGAAACGAUGUGGGAAGGCCCAGACAGCCAGGAUGUUGGCUUAGAAGCAGCCAUCAUUUAAAGAAAGCGUAAUAGCUCACUGGUCGAGUCGGCCUGCGCGGAAGAUGUAACGGGGCUAAACCAUGCACCGAAGCUGCGGCAGCGACACUGUGUGUUGUUGGGUAGGGGAGCGUUCUGUAAGCCUGCGAAGGUGUGCUGUGAGGCAUGCUGGAGGUAUCAGAAGUGCGAAUGCUGACAUAAGUAACGAUAAAGCGGGUGAAAAGCCCGCUCGCCGGAAGACCAAGGGUUCCUGUCCAACGUUAAUCGGGGCAGGGUGAGUCGACCCCUAAGGCGAGGCCGAAAGGCGUAGUCGAUGGGAAACAGGUUAAUAUUCCUGUACUUGGUGUUACUGCGAAGGGGGGACGGAGAAGGCUAUGUUGGCCGGGCGACGGUUGUCCCGGUUUAAGCGUGUAGGCUGGUUUUCCAGGCAAAUCCGGAAAAUCAAGGCUGAGGCGUGAUGACGAGGCACUACGGUGCUGAAGCAACAAAUGCCCUGCUUCCAGGAAAAGCCUCUAAGCAUCAGGUAACAUCAAAUCGUACCCCAAACCGACACAGGUGGUCAGGUAGAGAAUACCAAGGCGCUUGAGAGAACUCGGGUGAAGGAACUAGGCAAAAUGGUGCCGUAACUUCGGGAGAAGGCACGCUGAUACGUAGGUGAAGUCCCUCGCGGAUGGAGCUGAAAUCAGUCGAAGAUACCAGCUGGCUGCAACUGUUUAUUAAAAACACAGCACUGUGCAAACACGAAAGUGGACGUAUACGGUGUGACGCCUGCCCGGUGCCGGAAGGUUAAUUGAUGGGGUCAGCGCAAGCGAAGCUCUUGAUCGAAGCCCCGGUAAACGGCGGCCGUAACUAUAACGGUCCUAAGGUAGCGAAAUUCCUUGUCGGGUAAGUUCCGACCUGCACGAAUGGCGUAAUGAUGGCCAGGCUGUCUCCACCCGAGACUCAGUGAAAUUGAACUCGCUGUGAAGAUGCAGUGUACCCGCGGCAAGACGGAAAGACCCCGUGAACCUUUACUAUAGCUUGACACUGAACAUUGAGCCUUGAUGUGUAGGAUAGGUGGGAGGCUUUGAAGUGUGGACGCCAGUCUGCAUGGAGCCGACCUUGAAAUACCACCCUUUAAUGUUUGAUGUUCUAACGUUGACCCGUGAUCCGGGUUGCGGACAGUGUCUGGUGGGUAGUUUGACUGGGGCGGUCUCCUCCUAAAGAGUAACGGAGGAGCACGAAGGUUGGCUAAUCCUGGUCGGACAUCAGGAGGUUAGUGCAAUGGCAUAAGCCAGCUUGACUGCGAGCGUGACGGCGCGAGCAGGUGCGAAAGCAGGUCAUAGUGAUCCGGUGGUUCUGAAUGGAAGGGCCAUCGCUCAACGGAUAAAAGGUACUCCGGGGAUAACAGGCUGAUACCGCCCAAGAGUUCAUAUCGACGGCGGUGUUUGGCACCUCGAUGUCGGCUCAUCACAUCCUGGGGCUGAAGUAGGUCCCAAGGGUAUGGCUGUUCGCCAUUUAAAGUGGUACGCGAGCUGGGUUUAGAACGUCGUGAGACAGUUCGGUCCCUAUCUGCCGUGGGCGCUGGAGAAUUGAGGGGGGCUGCUCCUAGUACGAGAGGACCGGAGUGGACGCAUCACUGGUGUUCGGGUUGUCAUGCCAAUGGCACUGCCCGGUAGCUAAAUGCGGAAGAGAUAAGUGCUGAAAGCAUCUAAGCACGAAACUUGCCCCGAGAUGAGUUCUCCCUGACUCCUUGAGAGUCCUGAAGGAACGUUGAAGACGACGACGUUGAUAGGCCGGGUGUGUAAGCGCAGCGAUGCGUUGAGCUAACCGGUACUAAUGAACCGUGAGGCUUAACCUU